rnacentral:rRNA from 1 species
AUGCACGCUAGCUACAGGCUUAACACAUGCAAGUCGAGGGGAAACGACAUCGAAAGCUUGCUUUUGAUGGGCGUCGACCGGCGCACGGGUGAGUAACGCGUAUCCAACCUGCCCAUCACUUGGGAAUAACCUUGCGAAAGUAAGACUAAUACCCAAUGAUAUCCCACGAAGGCAUCGGAAUGGGAUUAAAGAUUUAUCGGUGAUGGAUGGGGAUGCGUCUGAUUAGCUUGUUGGCGGGGUAACGGCCCACCAAGGCAACGAUCAGUAGGGGUUCUGAGAGGAAGGUCCCCCACAUUGGAACUGAGACACGGUCCAAACUCCUACGGGAGGCAGCAGUGAGGAAUAUUGGUCAAUGGGCGAGAGCCUGAACCAGCCAAGUAGCGUGCAGGAAGACGGCCCUAUGGGUUGUAAACUGCUUUUAUAAGGGAAUAAAGUGGGUCACGUGUGACUUUUUGCAUGUACCUUAUGAAUAAGGACCGGCUAAUUCCGUG